GACGAACGCUGGCGGCGUGCUUAACACAUGCAAGUCGAACGAAGAGCGAUGGAAGCUUGCUUCUAUCAUUCUUAGUGGCGAACGGGUGAGUAACGCGUAAUCAACCUGCCCUUCAGAGGGGGACAACAGUUGGAAACGACUGCUAAUACCGCAUACGAUCUAAUCUCGGCAUCGAGGAUAGAUGAAAGGUGGCCUCUACAUGUAAGCUAUCACUGAAGGAGGGGAUUGCGUCUGAUUAGCUAGUUGGAGGGGUAACGGCCCACCAAGGCGAUGAUCAGUAGCCGGUCUGAGAGGAUGAACGGCCACAUUGGGACUGAGACACGGCCCAGACUCCUACGGGAGGCAGCAGUGGGGAAUCUUCCGCAAUGGACGAAAGUCUGACGGAGCAACGCCGCGUGAGUGAUGACGGCCUUCGGGUUGUAAAGCUCUGUUAAUCGGGACGAAAGGCCUUCUUGCGAAUAGUGAGAAGGAUUGACGGUACCGGAAUAGAAAGCCACGGCUAACUACGUG
rnacentral:rRNA from 1 species